AGAGUUUGAUCCUGGCUCAGAACGAACGCUGGCGGCAGGCCUAACACAUGCAAGUCGAACGCCCCGCAAGGGGAGUGGCAGACGGGUGAGUAACGCGUGGGAAUCUACCCAGUAGUACGGAAUAACCUACCGAAAGGUGGACUAAUACCGUAUACGCCCGCAAGGGGAAAGAUUUAUCGCUAUUGGAGGAGCCCGCGUCGGAUUAGCUAGUUGGUGGGGUAAAAGCCCACCAAGGCGACGAUCCGUAGCUGGUCUGAGAGGAUGAUCGGCCACACUGGGACUGAGACACGGCCCAGACUCCUACGGGAGGCAGCAGUGGGGAAUAUUGGACAAUGGGCGAAAGCCUGAUCCAGCCAUGCCGCGUGAGUGACGAAGGCCUUAGGGUUGUAAAACUCUUUCGACGGGGACGAUAAUGACGGUACCCGUAGAAGAAGCUCCGGCUAACUUCGUGCCAGCAGCCGCGGUAAU
rnacentral:rRNA from 1 species